GAUGAACGCUGGCGGCGUGCCUAAUACAUGCAAGUCGAGCGAACAGACGAGGAGCUUGCUCCUCUGACGUUAGCGGCGGACGGGUGAGUCACACGUGGAUAACCUACCUAUAAGACUGGGAUAACUUCGGGAAACCGGAGCUAAUCCCGGAUAAUAUAUUGCACCGCAUUGUUCAAUAGUAAAAGUCGGUUUUGCUGUCACUUAUAGCUGGAUCAGCGCCGCAUUAGCUGGUUGGUAAGGUAACGGCUUACCAAGGCAACGAUGCGUAGCCGACCUGAGAGGGGGAUCGGCCACAUGGGAAGGGAGACAGGGUCAAGACGCCUACGGGAGGGAGCAGUAGGGAAUCUUCCGCAAUGGGCGAAAGCCUGACGGAGCAACGGCGCGUGAGUGAUGAAGGUGUUCGGAUCGGAAAACUCUGUUAUGAGGGAAGAACAAAUGUGUAAGUAACUAUGCACGUCGUGACGGUACCGAAUCAGAAAGCCACGGCUAACUACGUG
rnacentral:rRNA from 1 species